rnacentral:ncRNA from 2 species
UAUGAUAAAAGACAAUGCACUCAUAUAAUUCCAAAAAAACGGCUUGGAAGUCUCUACGCGGUAGCCAAAUAUCGUACUAUGGGUUGAUCUUUUAAUUUU